AACUGUUCUGCCUGCGGCUAUGGAACCCUGACCUGUUCACCGGACUGGCAAGAAAUGGGACGAUGACUGGAUCAAGGCCGAGGACCGGGUUUCUCCAGUUUAACCUACUUUAUGCACAAAUGUAUUCCUCACUCUCCCUUCACAUGUAUCACUGUCAAUCAUAAAUGGUUGGCCAAAUUCGCCAUGAUUUACCAUUGAAACAUUUGUGGAGCAUCAGCGUGCCAACCAUUUGAUCUCAAUCAGUUUCAUGAGAAUAUGCAUUUAGAUGAUCUUCAUAUAAUGUGAGCUACAAAAGUGUUGUGUACAGUGACACAUUUUUUGUUGUUUUGGAUCUGUACUCCAGCACUUUGUAUUUCAAUAUGAGAUUAAAUUGCAGACUGUCAGCUUUAAUUUGAGGGUAUUUUCAUCCAUAUCUGAUGAACCGUUUAGAAAUUACAGCACGUUUUGUACAUAGCCCCCCCAUUUUAGGGGACCAAAAGUAUUGCGAUAAAUUCACUUAUGUGUAGUUGAGUAUGUUUGUCUUUUAUGUUUGCAUUGAUUCAUUUUACUAUGUUGUUAAAUAUAUAUGUUUAAUUUCACUCUAAUUUUUUACCUUUAGUCUAUGCCUAUUUCUAUAACACAAUGCACAUAGCUGAUUAUCUUAUGGAGUAGAUACAAUUAUAUUUACUAAAGACAGUUAAUUUGCAAGUUUAAUAGACUAUUUUUCUCCAGAUCAAACGUGUUGGUCUUUCAGCCAAAGCACCCCAUACAGAAGCAAUCAGUUGAUAUAACAAAGAACAAACAUAAAAAAUCAGUCUAUAUGAAUCAGACAGUAGUAGGUCAGAUGGUUGAAAAUCACAGAUUCAUAUUGUGAUUUGAAAUGCCAGUGUUUACAGUAGGCAAAAAUCAUCUUGUGGUCUUCUUUUUUGUUGUUAGUGACACUCUCCAGGCUCCACUGCCGUGGUUCUGAACUUGCUACGCUGCAUUUCUGCCGCACUAGCUAACAGUAGCUGUCUGUGGAACUGAAAUAAAACGCUGGCGCAAUAUUAGAGAAGGCGUACAGGUUAACAUACACGGUUCUUCAUUUUACGUGGGCCUUUUCCAAUAUAGUAAAGCUAUUACAUUCUGUUAUAGCUUUAGGAAACAAGGUCACUUGUUUCCUUCUGUCUUUCUAAUGGAAUAAUGUUAGUUCAAUGGAUAAAGGUACUGGAUCAUUUCUUUCCAAAUGCUACCCUAUUCCCUUGAAAGUGCACUACUUUUGACCAGAGGCCUAGGCACAUAGUAAAAUGUUGAUACAUUAGUUAUGAGCAGCGGAUUGGGCUGAUCAACUUUAGUACUUAGUGAAUGUCUCAGUAAUGACAAAAUAAUCAUCAAAAGUGAUGAGAAUGUUGAAUUUUUUGGCCGACUGACCUUCACAAUUCAUAUCUAAGUUUAUUAUAGGCCAAUAGGCUAGACAUAGCUAGGCUAUAUAUUAUAAUACAUAGGACUACGUGUAUAUCAACAUAGCUUACAUAUAUGGAUUAUAUAUACAGUAUAUAUAAUGCUAUGACAUAUAUUACUUUACCUGCAUUUUUUAUGUUGGAUAUAGGCCUACCCCUGAGUCAUAUUGGCAUGCAGAAUGUUUAGCGUAUAGAGGCAGACCGUCUAUCUGCUUGGUCUCUAGGCUAGUUGUCCACGGAAAAUAUUUAAUGAACAUGAAAGCCAAAUAUUUCACAACUGCUUUUUUGAAUAGGCAGUGAGAAUUAAUUUUCAUCAUUGUUGCUUAUCAGGAAUAUGAUGUGCCGAGGACCAUGGCAAUAGAGGUGCGGUUAUAAGGCCAUGUGGGUAAUGGGUAUAGGGGUUGAAAGGCCACAUAUAGACUGUUGAAUGUCUAUUUUUGAACUUCUAGAAGCGUCAAUAUCGAUGUAACAAUGUUUAUAUAAGCAUUUCUAUACAUACACUUGUUUUCUGCCAUGAACCUUUAUCCACCCCUAGGAAACCUUUGUAAGAGGUCAACUCUGGUCAUAGAGUCCCCAAAAAAUAUGUUUUUGUUGUUUUUUGUAGCUCAGUCUUAUGGCUUGGCACAAAUAAUCCUAUGCAUGAAUUAAAGAGUAUUUCACUUGCAACUAACUGGCUUGUUCAGGAUGGGACAACCCCUAUUUCAAUAGGAACAUUUCCAAGUUUGCAGCUUAACACACAAGGGCUAUGCAUUAUUCUUCCCAAAAGAUGUCAUGGAUCAUAAUUGGGUCAGCAUAAUAAAAUACAAUAAUCACUUCAAUAA